UGAACGCUAGCGGGAGGCCUAAUACAUGCAAGUCGAGCGGUAGAACUAGCUUCGGUUGGUUUGAGAGCGGCGCACGGGUGAGUAACGCGUACGUAACCUGCCCUUCAGUGGGGAAUAGCCCCGGGAAACUGGGAUUAAUGCCCCAUGGUACUUUCGAUCUGCCUGGAUUGAAAGUUAAAGCUUCGGCGCUGAAGGAUGGACGUGCGUCUGAUUAGCUGGUUGGUGAGGUAACGGCUCACCAAGGCGACGAUCAGUAGGGGGCGUGAGAGCGUGACCCCCCACACGGGUACUGAGACACGGACCCGACUCCUACGGGAGGCAGCAGUAAGGAAUAUUGGGCAAUGGAGGCAACUCUGACCCAGCCAUCCCGCGUGCAGGAAGACGGCCCUACGGGUUGUAAACUGCUUUUAUGAAGGAAGAAAGGUUGGCAUUUAUGCUGAUUUGACGGUACUUCAGGAAUAAGCACCGGCUAACUCCGUGCCAGCAGCCGCGGUAAUACGGAGGGUGCGAGCGUUAUCCGGAAUCACUGGGUUUAAAGGGUGCGUAGGCGGCCUGAUAAGUCAGAGGUGAAAGUCUGCGGCUUAACCGUAGAAUUGCCUUUGAUACUGUUGGGCUUGAGUCAGGUUGAGGUUGGCGGAAUGUGACAUGUAGCGGUGAAAUGCAUAGAUAUGUCAUAGAACACCGAUUGCGAAGGCAGCUGACUGGACCUGAACUGACGCUGAGGCACGAAAGCGUGGGGAGCGAACAGGAUUAGAUACCCUGGUAGUCCACGCCCUAAACGAUGCUCACUCGAUAUGCGAUCCGUAGGAUUGCGUGUCCAAGCGAAAGCGUUAAGUGAGCCACCUGGGGAGUACG
rnacentral:rRNA from 1 species